rnacentral:rRNA from 1 species
AACGAACGCUGGCGGCAUGCCUAACACAUGCAAGUCGAACGAGACCUUCGGGUCUAGUGGCGCACGGGUGCGUAACGCGUGGGAACCUGCCCUUAGGUUCGGAAUAACUCCCCGAAAGGGGUGCUAAUACCGGAUAAUGUCUUCGGACCAAAGAUUUAUCGCCUUUGGAUGGGCCCGCGUUGGAUUAGCUAGUUGGUAGGGUAAAAGCCUACCAAGGCGACGAUCCAUAGCUGGUCUGAGAGGAUGAUCAGCCACACUGGGACUGAGACACGGCCCAGACUCCUACGGGAGGCAGCAGUGGGGAAUAUUGGACAAUGGGCGAAAGCCUGAUCCAGCAAUGCCGCGUGAGUGAUGAAGGCCUUAGGGUUGUAAAGCUAUUUUACCCGGGAUGAUAAUGACGGUACCGGGAGAAUAAGCUCCGGCUAACUCCGUG